rnacentral:lncRNA from 1 species
CUGGUCCGUCUUGGGUCCGUCCUCUUGUCCCCUUCGCCCUCUGCUCUCGCCCCUUCCUCUUUCAUGUCGAUGUGAUGAGUUGUUGUCCAGCGCGGGUUGGUCCAUUCAUCAGUUUAUUGUUUUGUUUGUCAUUGGUUUGCUGCUGGCCGGCGGGCCGCAUGCGUCAUGUGCUGAUUUUAUUGGGGUUAAAUUGGCCAUGUCUGAAAUCUGAAAUGGAAUUGCACGAUUUGACUAUUUUGCUUGACUGUUUCUAGUCUUGGUCUCCUGUUUGGAUAACUCAUCGGUACGACCAGUCUAAGCUUAGGUCACUUCGGUUUGCAUUUUUGUUGUUGAUGAAUACACAGUAACAGCAUGAGCAUCCUGCGAAUUAACCUGUGGUUGAGUUGGUUAGGUGGACAGUGAUAUCCCUAACCCACCAGGGUUCAAAUCCUGGUGCUCCCAUUAUUUCUGGAUUUAUUUCGGGAUUUCCGGCGAUACAUUUUUAGUGGGAAGUUGACCAACAUGACAUGCCAUCAAAGAAUAAAGAAAAUCUAAAAUAAAUUUGUAAAAUACGAUCACUUAUGACAAGUCUAUAACUUGAACUCGGAUGAUUAGGUUCCACCACAAAAAAUUCUUACCAUUUAAGUUAAACUCAGUCGCUUUGUUUGCAUAUAAUUGAGAUGUACAAAAGCAAUUUUUUGAUAUAAAUUAUUUCGUCCAACCGAUGGGAAACGCGUGAACUUUCUUAUGCACGAGUAUCUUGGAAACUAUUGUAAUAGGGGCCGACCCUAUGAUGGGCAACGUCUUCUAAUAUCAUAUAUAUGCAUGUUCCCUAAAUAUAUACGCAUGUGCGUUGCGCUGCAAGAUUUUCUGCCAACUUGUAUAAUCUAACUACUCCAAAAUGUAUUAACUAUUUUCUAAGAGCAUGCAAGAGGAUUGUGUGCCAUUGUAUUAAGUGGGAGAGAACGGUUUAGUUACAAGAAACACUCAACUAGCCACAAACGGUCAUCGUAGCCAUCUAAUAGCAUGCUAAGGAAUAACUCGCUAAAUAAUUUUGUGUACAAUACCUCACCAAUAGCACGUUAAUAGUAGAUUUUAAGGACGGCACUUUUUUGCCACAAUGCGUUUUUCUUUCCACCGAGCUUUACACACAACCAACACCCCGGACUACUCUCUACACAUCCUAUCCACACGCACAAGCUUCCAAAGCGCAAAUUCUGCUUACGUCUAACUCCAAAUGUACGUCCCUGCGGAGGCAUUGUUGUCAAGCACUGUCUUGUUACAUUCUAGCCAGAUGAUGAGCAAGUUAAUCUCAGUAAAUUGGUUUUCUGGGUUAGUUGCGAAGAUGGUGUGCCACCAAUCACAUAAUGUGACGAGGUGUAAGUGCAUCUAGUGCCAACCCUAGUUGGUUUUGGAGUAUUGACGACAAACCUAGUUGAGGGACUAAUGUAUUUGUGAGAAUUGCAGGAUAACACAGGUAGAAGUCCCUCAUCGAUUCGGUUUUCCUACCAGAGAUGACCCCUAAAAAUGUAUGAAGACAUUGAUGUCAAAGGUGGUAUAUGAAGAUAUUCACAUUAAAGACUAUGACAAGAGAAGACACCGCAUGAAGCCUAUGGAGCUCGAAGACUUAGAUCUUUCGUAGUUCUUUUUCUUCUGUGUUGAGUCAUAGAAACCACCGUACUGUUAAGUGGGGUCCAAGAGAACCAGUCAGAAUGACUGAAAUGAUGCUUAAACAAAACAUAUGCCUUCGAGUGAAGACUAUGAGAGCGAAUCUUGUCCAGAGUCGGACAAGUCAGCUUUGCUUAUAGCCCAAGUAAAGUUGCCGUGUGAGUUUGAAAUCUGACCGUUGGAACAUGUGUCAGUUCCUUAGUGACCCAGGGUCAUUUCAGACAAAUCAGGUCGGGUUGCCUAGUGGCUAUAAAUAGCCCACCCCCUACAACCAUAAACGGUUGGCUGCUCAGAUUCAGAGUACGGCUUUUGUCGUUUGAGAGCAACCCACCUCGAAGCCUUCGAGAGAGAAUUCCUUGCGAGGAUAAAGCCCUAACCAUCCAGAGCCAAAGAGAAUUAGGCAUCACUUAAGUCUUCUUGUCUGUGUGAUCUGAAGACUUAUUACACUUGAGGACUGUGCAUCCUCCAGCCGGUUAGGCGUCGCGUUCUGAGCAUCCAAGAGACAUUGUGGAUCGCCGGUGAACGAAGUUUGUGAAGGUUUUGGAGUCUACCUUGAAGACUUACCAGAGUGAUUGGGCGAGGUCUAUGUGACCUUAGCUCAAGGGGAAUACGGUGAGGACUGGGUGUCCUGAGCUGCGUGUUCAGGACUGGGUGUCCGGGACUGUGUGUCCUUAGGUUUAAAUACCUAGCCGCCCUAACCAGACAUAUAGUUGUCACAGCAACUGGAACUGAUGGAACAAAUCAUUGUCUUCAACGAGUCACUAGUUUCAUCCUUCCCUUCUCCUUACUUACUGUUACUCCUUGUGAAGUUAUUGUAUGUCUGCACUAUCUUUUGUCUUCACUGAGUGACUAUGUGAUCUGUUUGGCUUCUUAAUAUCUUCCUACCUGAUCCUUACUACCUAGCUGCUAUUAGUCAUUGUGCUUUCACUUCAUUGAAUACAUGACUAUGGUUUAUCUAGUGUAGUCUACCUUCCGCUGCAUGGUAAUAGGUUUAUUUCUAUCGUUUGUCUUCGAAACUUUCAUAUUUUGAAGACUUUCAUAAAAUCGCCUAUUCACCCCCCUCUAGUCGAUAUAACGCACUUUCAAUUGGUAUCAGAGCAAGGUGCUCCCUUGUUCUGUGUGGUUCGGUUUAACCAUCUGAAGUUUUAGCUAUGUCGACUGCAGGGAUAAUUAAAGUCUCCGCUGUGUGCCCCGUCUUCGAUGAAACUGAAUAUCCCUACUGGAAGAAUAAGAUGCGCAUGCAUCUUGAAGCCAUUGACGUCGACCUAUGGUAUGUCGUCAAGAACGGCGUUCCCAAGGCUGGAGAAGGUGUCACUGCUGCUGAUGUCAAGAAGUUCGUUCAACUGGACUCUACUGUCAAGAAUAUCAUCUGUGGUCAUCUGACCAAAGUACAGUAUGGCCGUGUGAGUGCUUUGAAAACAUCUAAGUUGGUCUGGGACUGGCUCUCCAAGGUCAACGAAGGCGUCUCAACCCAGAGAGAUCAGAGAAUCAGUGUCAUUCGCAACCUCUUCAACCGCUUCAAGCGAAAUGACAAUGAGAAUGUCCAGCUCACGUUUGACCGACUCACUGACAUCACAAAUGAGCUUCAAGCCCUCGGCACCACUGAGAUCACCAAGCAUGAAGUCAUCAAGACACUACUGAGAUCACUUAACAGUUCGUUUGACAGCCUAGCCCUGAUGAUUUAAGAACGACCUGAUUUCAAGACACUCGAUCCGUCCGACAUACUUGAGAGGCUCAACACACAUGAGUUUCAGCUUUCUGAGAAAAGAGAUAUCUACGGUCCAAACUAUGGGCGAACUCGUGCCUUGAAGGCAAAAGCUGUCUCCUCAUCUGAAGAAGAAUCUGAUAGCAGUUCUGAUGAUCCUGAAGACAUUGGAAAGGAACUUGCUAUGCUUGUGAAGAAGUUCCAAAAAUUCACCAAGAAGAAAGGCUUCAGAAAGUCUUCACGAUCAAGCUCAAGGAAUGAUGAAGCUUCUGCUCAUGACUACAAGAAGAAAACAUGCCACAAGUGCAAGAAAACUGGCCACUUCAUCUCUGAGUGUCCGCAGUGGGACAAUGAGAACAGAAAGAAGAAGAAGAGCAAGUAAUAUGACUCUGACGACAAGAAGAAGAAGAAAUACUCAAAGUCCUCUUCCAAGUCUUCCUCAAAGUCUUCAUCACACAAGAAGAGCUCAUCUGGCAAGGCACGUGUGUUUGUCGGCAAGGAAAUGGAUUCAGAGGAGGAGUCCGCUUCUGAGGAGGCGGAGGUGGAGUCUGAGGAGGAGUCCGAUUCUGGCGUUGCAAGUCUGGCUACAGCAUACGUUCCCAAGUCCAUCUUCAACACUAAAGACAAUGACUUCACCAUCGACACCGAUGCAAAUGACAAGGACUACUCUACUCCUACCUACUGCUUCAUGGCACGCGGUGCCAAGGUAAACACACGCACUACUCACUAUCAAACAUCUAGUGAUGAUGACUCUGAUUGUGAUUCAAGACCCAGCUACAAAACACUUGCUAAAAUUGCAACUGAACAACAGAAAGCCAUGGAACAUAUUCAAAAACUGUUAGACAAAAGCGAUGAUCUGUUGGGCGCUGAAAUGACUCGGUCUGAGUCCUUAAUUGAAGACAUAAAAAAUCUUCAUGUUAAGUAUGAGGAACUUGAAAGUCGUCAUGAAACGCUCUCAACAACUCAUGAAAAGCUUUCCUAUGAUUAUCUUCAAAGGAAGCAAGAUCUUGAGAAAUUGAGAGCGGCUCAUGAAGAUCUUCAAAAGGAAAACGAGUCACUUCGCGCCGAACAGAUCAGUUCCGCUCAGGAAGGAUUUGAACCACCAUGUCCUAAAUGCAUUGAGCGUGAUAAUGCUACUUCUGUUGCUGAAUGUUCUACUGUUGCUACUGUUGCAAUUUCUUCAACUGUUGAUGUGGUAACUAACCCCUCUGCUGAGGAUACCACUGCUAUUGCUGAUGAGAAUGCUAGGUUGAAGACAUUGCUUGAAACAGGGAUGUACAAAAUUCUUAAAGGGCGUCAGACACUAUGUGAUGUCCUCAAAAGGCAGAUUCUGAACCGAAACCCGAGGAAAGAGGGUGUUGGGUUCAUAAGGAAAAUGAAUGUUGAUGGCUCUUACUGGAAACCCGAGCAGUAUCCCAAAACCACAUGGGUUGCUGCAAAGGAACCUUCAGCUGAUCCAUCCAAUCUAUCUGGCUUCACUUGUGCUAACCCCAUUGUCAUCGAUGAAUCCUUUGAUGCAAACUAUAAACUGUUUAAGAAUCAGAAUGGUGAAGUGUUUGCCAGGUACAUUGGUACUAACUGCAGGAAUGGACCGCCUAUGAAGAAGAUCUGGGUGCCCAAAAGGUGUUUGGAAAAUCUUCCUGUGAAUGUCAUCAUGACACCACAGAUGAAGAAGACAAACCCCAGACCACAGGCUUCAUACGGCCCAAAGGCUUCAUACAGACAGAGGACUCACCUGAGUCGCACUAACGCAAAUGUUUUGCAGGGAAACCAUACUCAGGCCUAUGAAUAUGAGCGCGGUUCAUCGAACCGCCAUGUUCAUAAGACCAAAACCUAUUCUGCUUAUUCUUAUGAGUAUUAUUGUCCGCCUGCAAGACUUUUUGCUAGGGCUCCAAAGCCAAAGUUUUCAGACGCUGCACUUAGACUUAUCGCUUCUAAGCCACCCUUGAAGAUGUGGGUGGUUAAGAAGGCUUAACUCUCUUUUGCAGGGAAAGGUCUCCAGCAGAAAACCAAAAUCUUCUGACGCUAUUGCUGGGGACCUUAAACAUCUUGUAGGCUGCAAGAUCAAAUGCCCGAAUGGUCUUACUAUGUACUUCGUUCCUGAAUUGCUUGCUACUCUCCCUAUCAGUCCUAAUCUGGAUCUAAGCUUUCAUAACCCACUGGUUCGUCAAAUGUUUUUGCUUCACAAUUCUCUUCGUGAAGCCUAUCCCCCUAACUGCACUAUAGGGUACGACACCAGCGUCUACAGAAUGGAUUAUUGAUAGUGGGUGUACAAAUCACAUGACUGGCAAAAGAAGCCUUCUUAUGGACUCAACCUUACGUCCAUCCGACAAGAGCCACAUCACAUUUGCUGACACUGGUAAAAGUAAGGUAUUGGGUCUAGGUAGAGUUGCAAUCUCAAAGGAUCAACACAUGGAUAAAGUCAUGCUUGUUGAAUCCCUUGGCUUCAACUUAAUGUCUGUCUCAAUGCUUUACGAUUUGAACAUGAUCGUAAUAUUUGGAAAAUAUCGUUGCCUUGUUCUAAUGGAAUCUGAAAAGUCUCUAGUAUUUGAAGGGUAUCGAAAAGAUGAUUUGUACGUGGUAGAUUUCUCAGCAGGACCACAGCUUGCCGUAUGUCUUCUAGCAAAAGCUUCAGAAUGCUGGCUCUGGCAUCGGAGGCUUGGGCAUGCUGGCAUGAGGAACCUCCACACCCUUGCAAAGAAGAAGCAUGUCAUAGGCAUCGAGGGCGUCAAGUUCAAGAAAGAUCACUUAUGCGGUGCCUGUGAAGCAGGAAAGAUGACGAGGGACAAACAUCCCUCGAAGACAAUCAUGACUACUACUCGACCCUUCGAACUGCUUCACAUGGAUCUUUUCGGUCCCACUCAUUACUCAACUCUUACUACUACUGCUUGUCUCUAUGGCUUUGUCAUUGUUGAUGAUUAUUCUAGAUAUACUUGGGUGCACAUAAUCCUUUACAAGACUGAAGUGCAGGAUGUCUUCAGACGCUUCGCCAAUUGAGCAAUGAACAACUAUGGCGCCAAGAUAAAGCACAUCAGAAGUGACAAUGGCACUGAAUUCAAGAACACUGGCCUUGAUACAUAUCUUGAUACCUUGGGCAUCACACAUGAAUUCUCAGCCCCGUACACGCCACAACAGAAUGGCGUCGUCAAAUGCAAGAACAGAACACUCAUUGAGAUGGCCAGAACGAUGCUAGAUGAAUACAAGACUCCAAGAAAAUUCUGGCCUGAAGCCAUUGAUACUGCAUGCCAUACAAUCAAUCGUGUUUAUCUUCACAAGCUUCUGAACAAGACAUCUUAUGAGCUUCUUACUAGCAAGAAGCCAAAUGUCAGUUACUUCAGAGUAUUUGGCGCCAGGUGCUGGAUCAAGGACCCACAUCACACUUCAAAGUUUGCACCAAAAGCACAUGAGGGUUUUAUGCUUGGAUAUGGAAAGGAUUCGCACUCCUACAGAGUCUUCAAUCUCUUUCAUUAUAAAGUGGUUGAAACAGUGGAUGUGCGGUUCGAUGAGACUAACGGUUCAUAAAGAGAGCACCUGCCAAAUGUGCUAGAUGAAGUUCCAUCCAGUGAAUCAAUCAAGCUAAUGGGAACUGGAGAAAUCAUACCUUCUGAAGCUCAUCCUGAAGAGGAACUUAUCAUCUCCGCACCAGACUGUAAGUGCAUCUAGUGCCACCCCUAGUUGGUUUUGGAGUAUUGACGACAAACCUAGUUGAGGGACUAAUGUGUUUGUGAGAAUUGCAGGAUAACACGGGUAGAAGUCCCUCAUUGAUUUAGUUUUACUACCAGAGACGACCCUUAAAAAUGUAUGAAGACAUUGAAGCCAAAGGUGAUAUAUGAAGAUGUUCACAUUGAAGACUAUGACAAAAGAAGACACGUUAUGAAGUGUAUGGAGCUCGAAGACUUAGAUCUUUCGUAGUUCUUUUUUCCUUUGUGUUGAGUCAUAGGAACCACCGUACUGUUAAGUGGGGUCCAGGAGAACCAGUCAGAAUGACUGAAGUGAUGCCUAAACCAAAAACCUAUGUCUUUGAGUGAAGACAGUGAGAGCGAAUCUUGUCCAGAGCCGGACAAGUCAGCUUUGCUUGUAGCCCAAGUAAAGUUGCCAUGAGAGUUUGAAAUCUGACCGUUGAGACACGUGUCAGUUCCUUAGUGACCCAGGGUCAUUUCGGACAAAUCAGGUCGGGUUGCCAAGUGGCUAUAAAUAUCCCACCCCCUACAACCAUAAACGGUUGGCUGCUCAGAUUUCAGUGCACGGCUUUUGUCGUUUGAGAGCAACCCACCUCGAAGCCUUUGAGAGAAAAUUCCUAGCGAGGAGAAAAGCCCUAACCAACCAGAGCCAGAGAACAUUGGGCAUCACUUAAGUCUUCUUGUCUGUGUGAUCUGAAGACUUAUUACACUUGAGGACUGUGAAUCCUCCAGACGGUUAGGCGUCGCGUUCAGAGCAUCCAAGAGACAUUGUGGAUUGCCAGUGAACGAAGUCUGUGAAGGUUUGGGAGUCUACCUUGAAGACUUACCAGAGUGAUUGGGCGAGGACUAUGUGACCUUAGCUCAAGGAGAAUACGGUGAGGACUUGGUGUCCUGAGCUGCGUGUUCAGGACUGGGUGUCCGGGACUGUGUGUCCUAAGGUUUAAAUACCUAGCCGCUCCAACCAGACAUACAAUUGUCACAACAACUGGAACUGGUCCAACACAUCAUUGUCUUCAACGAGUCACUGGUUUCAUCUUCACUUCCUUUUUCUUACUGUUACUCAUUGUGAAGCCAUUGCAUGCUUGCUCUAUCUUUUGUCUUCAUAACGUGAAUGUAUGAUCUGUUUGGCUUCAUAACUUCUUCCCACCUGAUCCUUAUUACACUACAGCUGUUUGUCAUUGCGCUUUCACUUUAUUGAAUACUUGACCAUGGCUGGCCUAGUGUAAUCUAACUUCCGCUGCAUAGUAAUAGGCAUAAUCUUCGCUGUUUGUCUUCAUAACUCCCACGUUUUGAAGACUUUCAUAAAAAUCGCCUAUUCACCCCCCUCUAGUCGAUAUAACGCACUUUCACAGACCAACCUGAAGACAAUGCUCAACCUAAAGACAAUCCCUCUAACAACGACAAUGAUCAGCAAGAGCAAAAUCUUCGCCCUGUACAUCCUCGUGUUGCCAAUGAAGUGCAGAUUGAGAGAAUAAUUGACAGCAUCAAUGCACCUGGUUCGCUCACUCGAUCAAGGGCAACUCAUCUAGCAAAUUUCUGUGGGCACUUCGCAUUCGUCUCAAUAACAGAACCCAAGAAAGUUGAAGAAGCCUUCAUGGAACCUGAAUGGAUUCAAGCUAUGCAAGAAGAGCUUCAACAGUUUGAGCUGAAUAAUGUAUGGGAACUGGUUAAGCGUCCUGAUCCUCGGAAGCACAACAUAAUAGGCACAAAAUGGAUAUACCACAACAAGCAAGAUGAGCAUGGUCAAGUUGUCAGAAACAAAGCUCGUCUCGUUGCUCAAGGAUAUACUCAAGUGGAAGGCAUUGACUUCGAUGAAACAUUUGCUCCUGUGGCUAGACUUGAAGCCAUACGCAUACUGCUGGCCUAUGCCAAUCAUCACAACAUACUUCUAUAUCAAAUGGAUGUAAAGAGCGCCUUUCUCAAUGGCAAGAUUGAAGAAGUGUAUGUUGCACAACCGCCUGGCUUUGAAGAUCCAAAACAUCCUGACAUGGUAUACAAGCUCAACAAGGCACUGUAUGGCCUCAAACAAGCCCCUCGGGCCUGGUAUGACACACUCAAAUACUUCCUGAAGAGCAAAGGCUUCAUACCUGGUUCCCUCGACCCCACUCUCUUCACGAAGACAUAUGAUGGUGAACUGUUUGUGUGCCAAAUAUAUGUGGAUGCCAUUAUCUUCGGCUGCACCAAUCAGAAGUACACUGAAGAGUUUGGAUAUAUGACGCAAGAGCAAUAUCAGAUGUCCAUGAUGGGAGAGCUGAAGUUCUUUCUCGGUCUUCAAAUACGACAGCAACGCAAUGGCAUCUUCAUAUCUCAAGAGAAGUACCUCAAAGAUUGUCUGAAGAAGUUCGGUAUGCAAAACUGCAAAGGCUUCACGACGCCAAUGCCAGCCAAGCAUCAUCUGGGUCCUGACGACAAUGGUAAAGAGUUCGAUCAAAAGGUAUACCGCUCCAUGAUUGGUUCUUUGCUUUAUCUAUGUGCAUCUAGGCCAGAUAUUAUACUUAGUGUUUGCAUGUGUGCUCGAUUUCAAGCGGCACCAAAGGAGUCGCAUCACUUAGCUGUGAAGCGAAUUCUUCGAUAUUUGGCUCACACCCCAACUCUAGGAUUAUGGUAUCCAAAGGGCUCAGAGUUUGAUCUGGUUGGAUUCUCGGAUGCUGAUUAUGCUGGUGACAAGGUGGAUCGCAAGUCUACAUCAGGCACAUGUCAUUUUCUGGGACGAUCACUUGUAUGUUGGUCUUCAAAGAAGCAGAACUGUGUAUCUCUCUCCACUGCUAAAUCUGAAUACAUUGCUGCUGGAUCUUGCCGCGCUCAGCUUCUGUGGAUGAAGCAAACCCUCAAGGACUAUGGCAUUCAUCUGAAGCAAGUGCCACUCUACUGCGACAACGAAAGCACCAUCAAGAUUGCCAACAACCCAGUUCAGCACUCGAAGACAAAGCACAUUGAAAUUCGUCAUCACUUUAUCAGAGAUCAUGUUGUGCAGGAAGAUAUUGAUAUCAUACAUGUCAACACUGAAGAGCAAUUGGCAGAUAUCUUCACCAAGCCCUUGGAUGAGAAGAGAUUUUGCAAGUUACGGUGUGAGCUAAAUAUCCUGGAAUCCUCAAAUGUCCUGUGAUCAGGCACACAUCCUAACACUUAUGCAUAUUGAUGACUUAGAUGUGCAACACACGAAGUAAAGUAUAUCUUCAAUCAAUGAAGACAUACAUUCUAAGUGUGAAUGCAUUAAUGUGGAAUUUGACUUCGGAGUGCCACGAUAAUUGUGCGUCGUGUCUGGGUCUACUACUUCCUAUACGGUGGGUAACGCCACCACCAAACGUUCUGUUUGAAGCGUGUUACUCAUGGCGUUACAUUUGCUAUGUCUUCACAUUUGAUUUGGCUUCAAUCUCAACAUGUCUUCAUGAUUAUCUUCACUAUGUUGAUUAUAUAUAUAUAUAUACUAGUGUUCUGUCCUCUACAGCAUUCACUUAUAGCUAUGUCUUCUUGUUGAAUCUUUUGAACUAAGUGAAUGUGAUCGGACCCUAACCUCUCUAUGCUUUCUAUCUCAAACUCUAUCUCUCCAAAUCAUAUGCAUUCUAUUGAAACUGUCGGAUGUCUUCUCUGCGUCCUUGUCAGUAGAAGAUACAGAGACAAACAUUAAGUCCGUUUUCAAUGCUCAUUCCUUCACAUGAAACCCGGAGAAGUGGGAACGACCACCCGACAAUCCAGGCAUGCGUGGGACGUGGAACAAACCCUAAUAUGCUGCAUGAUGGCCACAUGUUCCUCAGAUGCGAAUCGCCAGGGGCACCUGUGUAAUAACGCAGUGCCGCCCCUGUACCUAUAAAUACACACUUCACAGCGGUCAUUAUCUCUUCUUCCACUCUCGCACGAACCCUAGCGCCACCGCUAGCCCUCGACGACGCCGGCGACGAAGCGCUUCGCUACCGCAACCUCUCCGACGCCGUCUUCACGCCGACCGCGAACAUCAUCCUCUCCGCCGUCGCCGUAGGUGUCCUCCGUCGCCAAGUUAGGGCAUGGAAGAUCGAACUGACUCGGCCUCCUCUUCCACUCCGUCUAGCAGUUCCUAGUGUGGUAAAUAAAACUUCCUUUUUACGACCCCUUUGAUCCUAUGGCUUUGUCACUUUCUACCACAAGUAGUUUCUAUUCACACAAGUUGGAUCUCUUUCAUACUGCAUCUCAUAACAUGCCUAGUAUAUUCACUUAUGCGUCACAAAGUAGUUAGAUUCCUCACUUGUACUGAUCUCUGGAUUCGUACAAAUCUGGAGCCAACUCCUUAUCUAUAAGUGAAUGUCUUCGCACGAUGAGGUCAAUGUCUUCUAAACUGAUUUAUCUUCAAAAUCUUCUGAGAAUGCAUAUGACCUCUUCCCCUUCCCUCGCACCUUAAUGCUGUCACAGGUACAUGUCUGUGGGAGAAUCCCUUGGUUCUCAUAGUCUGCAUUCAUUUGCAGAAUUCUUACAGCAUCAUAUAAAUUCUCCCGAAGCCAGUUCCUGUUUGUCCAGCAAGCGAAAGCCUUUAAACGUAUUGAAGCCUUUCAGUAUAAAGUUCAUGGCUUCAGAGAAAUCAGCAAGGAAGGGUGGCAGAAAGCGUCGUGGAGAAACAUCCAGAGAUCUGUCGGAUCACCUCUCAGAACUGUACAAAAUAGAUCUUGAAGAGGAUUACAAUCAGCGCAAAACACGAAUCCAAUGGAUUCGACGCUAUUGGGAAGAACGGUGGUUCAAGUACAGAUUUGUGACAAAGGAAUAUGCUGAAAAGAAUGCCAUCAAGCGACCAUGGGGAGACAUCCUCUACAAAAAUCUUCAACCCAGGACCAGAGAUGAAGCCAUUGAACAAGGCUUCUAUCCCUGCAUGGUCCGUGGACCACAGCCUGCGGAUGCUGACCCCUCAUCACUGCUAUGGUGUCGUGACGACAUUCUGUUCAAGCGCAACUUUCAGUUUGCCCAGAACUCAGCGAAGCAGAACAAGAAGACAUUGGGACUAGACUUCAACCCUGGUCCUUCUGCUCCAAGGGCUGAUGGCACACGGGAUGCAGAACCCAAUGUCGUCGGUCCUUUCUACAACCUUGAAGGUCUCAUCACCCAUAUCUUGGUUUAAGGGACAGCCGUGAAUGAGCCUGCAGCUGACGCUGAAUCAGAUGAAGCGCCUGCAGCGCCGAAGCCAAAGAAGUUGAAGAAGCCUAAAGCUUCAAAGCCUGCCCCUUCACCAAAAAUCUCACGGGCGAAGCCACUGGCAACUGCACCUCCUGAAGACAGUGUGCAGUCUGAAGAUUUGUCACGCAUCUCCAAGCCCCAGAAGGUCAAGAUGCCUCUGCCACACACCGGCCAAGAGCUAACUGCUGCUGCCAUUCUGCGCAAUGAUGCCAUUGAUCUAUCAAGUGAUGAAGAUCUUGUAGAUGACGCUCUUGAGCAACUCAUCAAGAGCAAAGAAGAAGCAGAAAUCUUCAAUGAUCUACCGCUCUUUGAUGUAACAAUCAUCCACAACUUCAUUGAUGAGUGGUUUGACACGCCAAACAUCAGCUUCGAAGAUCUCCAACUACCCAUUGACCUUAGUGUCGCCUUCCAUGGCGCCAUUGCUUCAGAGUUAGCCAUCGCCCAGCGCAUUGUUGAACUGAAGCAGAAGAUUGACUUUGAGAAAUCUCAGUCCAAGAAGCAUAUGGCCAAGCUCGGCGUGAAAGACGUGAAGAACUUCAAGAUUAUACUGCACGAGCUCAAGGAAGCCUUUCUAAAAAACGUGCAGAAGCUCAGGGUUCUCGUGAGCGCAUGAAGGUCCUGGCUGAUAGGUGUGUGCAAGCCUACAAUGAGGCUGAGAAGCGCAAGGCCCUAGGGCGUCUUGGCAUCGACCCCAGGAUGGCUGCCAAGAAGAAGAAGAAGCCCUCUAUGGCUGAACCCGGAGCACCAAGGCAGGAAGCAGAUCCCCUUGUCUUCCCAACUAGCAUGACUGGCCCGAAGCCAAAGGCCAGGUCAACCGCUUCAGAACUGAAGAAGACCAAGACUGCUGAGGCUGGAGCAAGGAAGAGGAAACAUCCUGAAGCCUCUGCUACUGCCCCCUCCAAGAAGAAAAGAAAGACCAAGAAGGAACGGGCUGCUCCCACAGAGCCCUUGAUUGUUGAACCCAUUUCCAUGGUUCACCCUGACGCUGAUCCACAAAAACGUCAACUGACUAUCCAUGAGCCUGCUUUCACAGAGGCUCAUGAAGCUGAAGACUUUCCAGCAGCUGAUCCCAUCGCUGCUGAAGACAUUGGUCCCCAUGACCAUGUUGAAGAUGAUGCAGUCCUUCCUCAGCUAGAGCACCAAUAGGUAUCAUCGCCUGUGCUAACACACAACGAACUCAUCAGCAUUGGUCGUCCACUGACGCCAAUUGCACAGGAUGCUUCAUGGGCUGAUCGCCCACAAGAGGAAGAAGACUUUGAGGCCCAGCCAACACCAACUCCACAGGCGUCGCCCGCGCUGCGCAGGCUUCACAAAGGGCCAAGGCCUCAAGUCUCUGCGUCUGAAGCUAAACCUGCUGAAGAUAUUCCAGAUGCAUCAGCCGAUGAAGAAGAAGUCCCACAAGUUGCUACUCCCCUGUCCCACCAAGAAGCGGUUCUCGAGGAGAACGUGAUUGUGACCGACCCUCCAGCUCCUCAAGUGGAGGCUGAAAAUCUUGAGGCUGCCACCACCAAUACCAUUGAAGCCACUGACGCUGUCAUGGCUGAAGCUAAUGUAGAGCCCUCACCACCAAAAGCACCAGAAGUUAGCGAAGCCACUGAUCCCACUGCUUUUGUUCCUGCGUCUGCUGCCGGUCCCCAGUUCGACUAUCAUGUUGAGCACAGGCCUCAGGUACAGAAGCCAAUCCCAAGAUUGCCCAGGUUCCCAGGUCCUGCAUCAGCACCUGGCUCCUUUAAUAUCAAUGGCUUCAGAGCAGACAACACAUUCUUCAAUAGCUCCAGGAACCCCUACUCAAGGGAAAGAAUAUCAUUUGAUCGGUUCUGGAGCUAUCCGCAGCGAAGCUAUUACUCAUGUGUUCUUUACAACCAAGGUCGCAUCUUCCCACACAAGCGCCUUGACAUUGAAGCAAUAGCUGGUCUGCCCUGUCUGGAAGAAGCUCUGGAUUGCUUCAAAGAGGUUGGACUGCUGCCGUUCGUCACUGACCAAGAGCAUUGGAAUGAAGAGUUGCUGCUCCAAUUCUAUGCCACACUUCACAUCCGCGGGUAUAACAGAGAUCCGAAGACUUGGGUCCUGGAGUGGAUGACAGGAAACGUUCAUCACGAAGCCAAAGCCUUUGACAUCAUUGAGCUCACUAGUUUGCCCACUCCUGGUGAUCUCUACGAGCAUGGCUGUCAGCUUCAUAGUGAAGCUGUUGAGAGCAUCUUUCAGAAGACUGAACCUAAUAUGAGUCAGAUGCUCAGUAUGAUGAAGCCAUUGCCCCAAGAUGCUGCUUAUCCCACGGAGUUCUUUGUUGAAGACCUUGAGUAUCUGCCAAGGACCAUUUAUCACAUCAUAAGGCGAACUCUCUGGCCAAUCAAAGGACAUUCUCCCCAUGCCAAGCUGGAAGGUGCAAUGAAGACUUUGGUCUUCUAUAUUCUUCAUGGAAAAUGCUUCAAUACACAGGAUUUCUUCAUUCGCCAACUUGCUGCAUCAGGCUAUGAUCUGUUUGGCUUGAAGUUCUACGCCCCUUGGGUGAUGCAGCUGAUCAAACUUCACUCCUCUAUCUCAUAUCAGCCAUCUGCCCGCAAUCAUUGGAUCUUUUUGCCUGAUGUGGAUAUGUCUAUUGAAGCCAUAUAUCCUGAGCCUGCCAAGGAACCUCUAAGUCUUCAGAAUGCAGAGCAUCAAAGUUUUUCUCAGAACGUUGAAGGCGUUGAAGCAGUAACUCGUGUGUAUCGUUUGGCUGGCACUACACGUGCACCGCAUCCUGCUCUCACUGAAGCCACUGAUAGCACCAUUGCCCAACGACCCAAGAAGUGCACUCGUGUUCUCAAUGAUUGAGAUCUUCUGGUGGCUCUUCAUCAGAAACAGGAUAGGCAUCAUGACUGGCCGAAGCGUCAAAUGCAAAGUCUCUUGGUGGAUGUUAAUCGCAUUCGCAAUCUUCUUCACUGAGCGAUUCAAGUUUGACUCCACACCUCCUCGAAGGGCAGUGCUGCGACGAACUCCAUCACUUGAAGACUCUGAGUUCUCUUCCUCUGCUGCAACUGUGAAUGCCAGAGUGAUCGAGGAUGAAGACGAUGCUACUUCACCGCCACUUCCUUCAGCACGCGUCGACACUGCUCCAAGUUCUUCUGCACCGCCAAACACCACUGACGACCCUGCUGCUUCACCUACUCUUCAUGGGAAUGAGUAGAUGCUCUAUGUCUUUCAACCUUUUUGGUCCUUACUGACAAAAGGGGGAGAAGCAUAUGAGUUUGAUAGUCUUCAAGCGGGUCCAUAUAGGCGGGUUGCUUUAUAUUUUGCUUCGUGCUUACAACUCUCAUUUUGAUACAUUUGGUUCUUUGAGUUGUAACACUUAAACUUGAUGGUCGUCUGCUACUUAUUUGCCACCUUGCGUUGCGAUGAUAAAUUCCGCAUGGGCGACGAUAAAUUCCGCACUUAGAUCAUUGUGCAGACGUCCAUUUUCCAUUAUGCAUGUCAUUAUCUUCACAUACUUUCACAUGCAUAGUGGAUUGUCAUCAUAAGUUGAAGUGGAUCUCCACAAGCACAACUUGCCAUGUGCAUUUGCAUUCCAAAACCAAAUUACUUAUAUGCACAUCUUCAGGGGGAGCCCUUGCAACUUAUGAAGGCAAUUCCUUAUCCUUUACAAUUUCACAUAUUAUAUUCCCCGUUGAAAACUUCAACUAGUUUGUCAUCAAUCACCAAAAAGGGGGAGAUUUUAAGUGCAUCUAGUGCCACCCCUAGUUGGUUUUGGAGUAUUGACGACAAACCUAGUUGAGGGACUAAUGUGUUUGUGAGAAUUGUAGGAUAACACAGGUAGAAGUCCCUCAUUGAUUCGGUUUUCCUACCAGAGAUGACCCCUAAAAAUGUAUGAAGAUAUUGAUGUCAAAGGUGGUAUAUGAAGAUAUUCACAUUGAAGACUAUGACAAGAGAAGACACCGCAUGAAGCCUAUGGAGUUCGAAGACUUAGAUCUUUUGUAGUUCUUUUUCUUCUGUGUUGAGUCAUAGGAACCACCGUACUGUUAAGUGGGGUCCAAGAGAACCAGUCAGAAUGACUGAAGUGAUGCUUAAACAAAACCUAUGUCUUUGAGUGAAGACUAUGAGAGCGAAUCUUGUCCAGAGUCGGACAAGUCAGCUUUGCUUGUAGCCCAAGUAAAGUUGCCGUGUGAGUUUGAAAUCUGACCGUUGGAACACGUGUCAGUUCCUUAGUGACCCAGGGUCAUUUCGGACAAAUCAGGUCGGGUUGCCUAGUGGCUAUAAAUAGCCCACCCCCUACAACCAUAAACGGUUGGUUGCUCAGAUUCAGAGUACGGCUUUUGUCGUUUGAGAGCAACCCACCUCGAAGCCUUUGAGAGAGAAUUCCUUGCGAGGAUAAAGCCCUAACCACCCAGAGCCAAAGAGAAUUAGGCAUCACUUAAGUCUUCUUGUCUGUGUGAUCUGAAGACUUAUUACACUUGAGGACUAUGCAUCCUCCAGCCGGUUAGGCGUCGCGUUCUGAGCAUCCAAGAGACAUUGUGGAUCGCCGGUGAACGAAGUCUGUGAAGGUUUGGGAGUCUACCUUGAAGACUUACCAGAGUGAUUGGGCGAGGUCUGUGUGACCUUAGCUCAAGGGGAAUACGGUGAGGACUGGGUGUCCUGAGCUGCGUGUUCAGGACUGGGUGUCCGGGACUGUGUGUCCUUAGGUUUAAAUACCUAGCCACCCUAACCAGACGUACAGUUGUCACAGCAACUGGAACUAGUCCAACAAAUCAUUGUCUUCAACGAGUCACUGGUUUCAUCCUUCCCUUCUCCUUACUUACUGUUACUCCUUGUGAAGUCAUUGUAUGUAUGCACUAUCUUUUGUCUUCACUGAGUGACUGUGUGAUCUGUUUGGCUUCUUAAUAUCUUCCUACCUGAUCCUUACUACCUAGCUGCUAUUAGUCAUUGUGCUUUCACUUCAUUGAAUACAUGACUAUGGUUUAUCUAGUGUAGUCUACCUUCCGCUGCAUGGUAAUAGGUUUAUUUCUAUCGUUUGUGUUCGAAACUUCCAUGUUUUGAAGACUUUCAUAAAAAUCGCCUAUUCACCCCCUCUAGUCGAUAUAACGCACUUUCACGAGGACAUUUGCAUGAAGCAAUGGAGCCAAUAAAGGAGCAAAACAAAUAACCAAACAUCCCUUAAGAACGGGCACCAGAGAAGCAUGUGCCGAGAUUCUCCGAGCUUGGUCCCAUGGCUUGCGACAACUAGGGUGUGGAAGCGAGAUAUGUGCAUGAUUGCGUAAGCAAUCAAAGAGAAAUUUCAAAGAAUGAAAAGGCAAAAAGGAGGCGAAGAUGUCUCACAUAGGGGGAGGGGUCCUCUCAUCCAUGAUCCCCAUGGGGGAAACUCUAGGUUCUCAUCAUCGGCUAAACUCGAAAGCUACAUAGCUCUUCUAAUCGCCACCAUUGAUACCAUCAUUACAAUCGAGGGCCUACAAUCCAUGGAAAUCCCUAUUCCGAUCUUCUUUGUUCGGCUUUCACAAGCAAGAUACCUUGAAGCAGGUGACAGUCUAUAGCCCAAAAACUACCCAUGGGAUUUCUUUGUCUUUUCCUUAUCUUUUGUCCGGUGAAGAAUCUCCUGCUGCAGAGAUAAGAUGAAUGGCUUCGAGAUACCAUCACUCGCCCUGACCCGAGUCCCCUAGCCUCUCAGCUUCAGCAGUUGUUGUAAGGAGAAGUAGCAGGAUUGUUAGUUUAUGUGCCGAGCAGGCAAAGGCAGAAGUGGAAGGGUCAAACUCCUCUAUCGGGGAAAGACAGGAAGGAUAAAAGUGUAAAAUCACUACUUCCACUGAUUUCUUGCGGGAAGGUUCUAUAAGGGAAGAAGAAUCAGAGCUGAUGAGAAGAGGGCUGAGUCGUCUAGCUUUUAUUCCAAAAUCACGUAUCACCGAUCAGCCUAUUCGAGAGGAGCUGCUUGCCUUGCCCACUUCAAUAAGGAAGACUCCAUCAAUAAAGAAGAGCUUCUUGUUUCCAAGCGGAACUCGAAUGGGCUGCUAGCAGAUUUGUUGGGGAUGGCAAGUUAACACCGUGGCUUCUUCGCGCAAGCACUUGGUUCGCCCCUUACUAUAACCGCCACAAGUCUAGUAUAGAAUCUGCUCUUUAAGGUCGAGAAUCUGCUCUAGAAGGUCGAUGCUUAAAAAAGAGGUGACCCGAAUGAUUUCAAUGAAUUGCUAUUUGGUCAGAUUGGAACAAUUGGAUUCGAAAGUCUCAGCGGCAAGGAAGAGAAAAUGCAUCGAGUCGUUUAUCAAGAAAGUGGACGAGCAUGGUUGAAGCAGUGGAGUGAAGAGGAGGGUUGGGUCCCGCCUCACAACGAGCCCGGGUAGCUAGACCAUUUUAUUAGAUUUUGCCUCUGCUGAUCCUGCUCAUGCUUUUUUUUCUCAAUUGGUAAAGUCUCUCAGCCUUGCGAAGUGGAAAAAGAGAUGGGCAGCUGCUUUGUGAAUUUGAUACUAGGUAGUUCUCCCCCCUCGGCAGGCAAGUAGCCCUAGCCUUUUAUGAGAGUCAAUUGGGAAGUGGAAAGGCAAGAGGCCUUCUAUAUGUUAAGGGAGAGAGGGGAGAGUCAUUCCAGAGUUGGGUGGGAAUCGUUGAUAGAAAUUUGGAUUUUCCCUGAGAUUACGAAAAAUUGGAUCGGAUUUUGCAGUUCUUUUUUCUGCAGUACCUCGACGUGACAUGAGCGUGAAAGAGGUUCAAGAAUCCGUUUUCUAAAUAUAUAAAAGAGGGGGAAUGGAUUCUACAAGAAAAGGCGGGCAAAGGUAGUUCAGGGAUUGCAAUUUUUCUCGCAUUUUAGUUUUUUCACUCAAACUCAAGGGAGAAACUUUGCUUCUUAUCUUUUUUUUUAAAGAUUGACGAAUAAAAUGAUAUUUCUGUCCACAUGCAUGAGUAGGCCUGUUGCUGGGAUGUCCCAUUAAAAAGGCAGGUCCCAUAUUUGAAAUACAAAAAUAAGAUCAGUGCUAUCAAUAAAUAACUAGCUGACAAUAUGCUAUGCUUACUCUCCGAGCACUAAAGCUAUCGAGAAGUAUCUCCAGGUAACUCCAUCUUUUUCAGCUCUGCUCGCUCACUUUUGAAAGGAAGACUUAGUUUUAGAUCGGCGUUGGUUUUUCCAGAAUCAGUCCGUCCGGUUAAGCAUUGGGGAGCUGAUAGGUCGAACGGAGUGGUGCCAGAGCUCUAAAGUGGCUCUAAAUAUCCAUUUCUUUGAUUUUCCUGUGUGCUUUUUAGGCGGCAUCAUCUAAGUUCGAGAACUUUGGAUACUUAAAGGCUGCAGCACAUGCUAAGUGUUGACUGAGAUUCUUUUUUUCCGACAGGGAAGCCAUGCUCCAUCCUGUUUCUAAAAAGAACAUCACCUCCCUUUUUGGUUAGAUACCGCUCCGUUAGGUACUAAUGCUUCUACCUAUCACCCGGAGGGUGAGUUUGAGAGCUGUGUUUUUUUCCAACGUUAAUAGCAUUCCGCGAGAAAAGUCAUCUACUGAUGUUGUCAGCGGAGUCCCUCGUCCAUCCAUGUAUGAAUAGCGAAUCCCGAAGGGGAGGCUCUAGUUGCCAAGUAAGAAAAGAUCUCGGUAGUUCAAUUCAUGCAUGUGAAAGCUUAUCUGCCAGAUACAGAUGAUACUUGCCACUACUUGACCGAAACUGGGACUUGUUGUGAUAAUAGGCCGGCCAGUCCGGAACGUAGAGCAGAUCUAUCAGAGAACAGGGAGCAGGAAAUUCUUGCUCGUGCCGGCCUGUAUUCGGAGUUUCUUGGAUUUGCGGUGCCUGAAUGCCUUUCUCCUUCUUUUUGGUGACGUCGGAUGCCCGCCUUUGGUGCUCAGAAGUGGAUUCUCCUUCAAAGAGGGCCGGAAUUCGACCCGCUAUUAAUGUGGGUAUUUUAGUUUCCAGAGUAGGAUCCGUGGCUCAAAUUAAAGCCAUGAAACAAGUAGCUGGCAAAUCCAAAUUGGAACUAGCUCAAUUCGCAGAGUGACAAGCCUAUUAUUCGCCUCUGCUCUCGAUAAAACAAGUAUGCUUUAGCGAGUGAACUAGGUUUUUAUUUGAGAGCGAACUAGGUUUUUAGUGGUAUUCCUUCUCAGUCAUCCUUGUUUUGGUACCGGAUUCAACUUGUCGAGGCUUCUGCUCGUAACGUCACUCACUGGAUCAAAUCAAAGGGCUCGGUUUCUGCUCCUCGGCAAAGGCAAAGUCAAUUCAAUAGGAAUCCGAAUUUGGGCGACGGAAUGUGUUUUACAAUAAGUUCCAACGUUUGAGUAAUUGAACUUGCUUCUUCACUUAAUGCUUGCUUUCCGUCUUGCCUUUGCCGGAGGGAUCUCUCUAUGAAUGGAAAAGGGGUGCUUCGGAUCGGGAGUAACCACUUUAGAAAGGGCAAAGGGGGGAAGGACAUAGGAAAGAGGGAUGCCUAGUCUGAAUUUGAAACGCAAUCCGGCAGAGAAAAGAAACUUAAGUAACCACCAGUUGAAACUGAGCGAGGAUGCCUCUCCUAAUGGAAGUUACGGGCCCAAACCGGGUUAUGAGCUCAACGAAAAAAAAA